rnacentral:rRNA from 1 species
CCCAGACUCCUACGGGAGGCAGCAGUGGGGAAUAUUGCACAAUGGGCGAAAGCCUGAUGCAGCAACGCCGCGUGAAGGAAGACGGUUUUCGGAUUGUAAACUUCUUUUCUUAGUGAAGAAUAAUGACGGUAACUAAGGAGCAAGCCACGGCUAACUACGUGCCAGCAGCCGCGGUAAUACGAAGGUGGCAAGCGUUAUCCGGAAUUAUUGGGUGUAAAGGGUGCGUAGACGGGACAGCAAGUUAGUUGUGAAAGCCCUCGGCUUAACUGAGGAACUGCAACUAAAACUAUUGUUCUUGAGUGCAGGGGAGGAAAGCGGAAUUCCUAGGGUAGCGGUGAAAUGCGUAGAUAUUAGGAGGAAAACCAGUGGGGAAGGGGGCUUUCUGGACUGUAACUGACGUUGAGGCACGAAAGUGUGGGGAGCA